AUUGAACGCUGGCGGCAGGCCUAACACAUGCAAGUCGAGCGAGCGGCGGACGGGUGAGUAAUGUCUGGGAAACUUCCUGAUGGCGGGGGAUAACUACUGGAAACGGUAGCUAAUACCGCAUACCAUCAGAUGUUCCCAGAUGGGAUUAGCUAGUAGGUGGGGUAACGGCUCACCUAGGCGACGAUCCCUAGCUGGUCUGCGAGGAUGACCAGCCACACUGUAACUAAGACACGGGCCGGAUUCUUACGGGAGUCAGCAGAGGGGAAUAGUGGACAAUGGGCGAAAGCCUGAUGCAACCAGGCCGCGUGGGUGAAGAAGGCCUACGGGUUGUAAAGCACUUUCAGCGGGGAGGCGUUACCCACAGAAGAAGCACCGGCUAACUCCGUGCCAGCCGCCGCGGUAAUAC
rnacentral:rRNA from 1 species